rnacentral:rRNA from 1 species
UACAGAGGUCCCGAGCGUUGUUCGGAUUCAUUGGGCGUAAAGGGUGCGUAGGUGGCGGAGUAAGUUGGGUGUGAAAUCCCGGGGCUCAACCCCGAAAUUGCAUUCAAUACUGCCUCGCUAGAGUGCUGAAGAGGAGACUGGAAUUUACGGUGUAGCAGUGAAAUGCGUAGAUAUCGUAAGGAAGACCAGUGGCGAAGGCGAGUCUCUGGACAGCAACUGACACUGAGGCACGAAGGCCAGGGGAGCAAACGGG